UACGUAGGGUGCGAGCGUUUGUCCGGAAUUAUUGGGCGUAAAGGGCUCGUAGGCGGUUUGUCGCGUCGGGAGUGAAAACCUUGGGCUUAACUCAGGGCUUGCCUUCGAUACGGGCAGACUAGAGGUAUGCAGGGGAGGAACGGAAUUCCUGGUGUAGCGGUGAAAUGCGCAGAUAUCAGGAGGAACACCGGUGGCGAAGGCGGUCUCUGGGCCGUAACUGACGCUGAGGAGCGAAAGCGUGGGGAGCGAACAGG
rnacentral:rRNA from 1 species